rnacentral:snRNA from 1 species
GGAUGCAAGGGUGAUGUGGCUGUGACAUCUGCCACUCCACUGACUGCCAGGGUGGAUUCGGCUGAUCUGGCCGGCCAGGCAGGUGUCCCCUUUCUCCCUCACUGCUCUAUGCGCCUCCCUCCCGAAGCUGUGCUCUCAGUUGAAGAAAAUGACCAUUCCCAAUAGAGGAGGGCUGGUCUUCGGUCAACGGUAUAUGAGUUGCUGCACUGUCCUGACAGAACCUUCAAACAAGCUCUCAAAAUUGGUGAAAAAGCUGGGUGCAGUGGAUCACGCCUGGCAUCCCAACACUUGCGGGGCUGAGGCAGGUGGAU